CCUGCCCCUAGAGACAUUGCAGGUAUGGCUGCUGUCACAUGUGAGUCAGUAAGUAGUAGCAGGGAGGAGAGAGGCUAUGUCUAUGCUCAGUGUUCUGACCUGGGAACAUCUGAAUGAUAAGUAGCCUAACACU
ensembl:snoRNA Gm24581 predicted gene, 24581